rnacentral:rRNA from 1 species
GAUUCCCCUAGUAAUGGCGAACGAACAGGGAACAGCCCAGCGCCAAGUCCUGACACUUGACGUGUUCAGGAGAUGCGGCGUUAGUGCCCUAAUGCAUCGCGCACUGCCUUAUGUCUCAAGUUCCUUUGACAGGGACUCCCAGAGUGGGUGCUAGGCCCAUAGAGACUGUAAAGCUGGUGCGCGCAAAUUAGAGCAUUUUAGAGUCAGGUUGCUUGAGAGUGCAGCCUAAAGUAGGUGGUAAACUCCAUCUAAGGCUAAAUAUUACAGUGAGACCGAUAGCAAACAAGUACCGUGAGGGAAAGUUGCAAAGAACUUUGAAGAGAGAGUUCAAAAGGACGUGAAACCACUAACAGGCAAACGGGUGGAACCACGAAGUGUGCUCAGAGGGCGAUUCAGUUAUCAUUUNCCGGUUGGCUGCGCGCACAAGGGGCGCCUGGCGUCGUGUGCGCGCGGUCUACAAUCGGCAAUGUUAAUGCAUUUCGUUCCUUUGAUGCUAAAGCCACGUCCGAUUAGGUGGCUGGAACGGCCGUAGUGUGUGCUCUUUGGAAGGUGGCCGCCAGAUGCUUGCGUCUGGCGGUGUUAUAGCCAAAGGGUCGUGCCCCCGUUACCUAGCGUGCUGAUCGGUGCAAGUUCUCCUCCUCUCUGGAGUUUUGCAAGUAAUGGGCCGGCGUGCUUGUGGCGUCAAGGCAGACGUAUUAGUUUGCGCUUUCGCUCUCUCGGGAGCGUAAAGACAGAUUAGUGUCGUAGGUCUUGGCUGUCGCUCUGCAUGGCUUCCGGCUUGUGCAAACGGUGGUGCGAGUAGGUCGGUCUCCACCCGACCCGUCUUGAAACACGGACCAAGGAGCCUACCAUGUACGCAAGUCGCUCGGUCUUGAAUAGGCCCGGGAGGCGCAAUGAAAGUAAAGUUACGAGGCUGUGUCGCGUCCCUUAAAGGCGCAAUCAGUCGCAGUAGCGGCCCACCUCUUUCCUAUUUUGGGGAUAUGGUGGAGCUGGAGCGUAUACGGUGGUACCCGAAAGAUGGUGAACUAUGCCUGGGCAAGACGAAGCCAGAGGAAACUCUGGUGGAGGUCUGUAGCGAUUCUGACGUGCAAAUCGAUCGUCAGACCUGGGUAUAGGGGCGAAAGACUAAUCGAACCAUCUAGUAGCUGGUUCCCUCCGAAGUUUCCCUCAGGAUAGCAGGCGCUUGUUUUUAAUCAGUCUCAUCCGGUAAAGCUAAUGAUUAGAGGUCUUGGGGCCGAAACGGCCUCAACCUAUUCUCAAACUUUAAAUGGGUGAGAUGCAUGACUUGCUUAAUUGAAGCCAUGCAAUUGGAUGUGAGUGCCUAGUGGGCCAGCUUUGGUAAGCAGAACUGGCGCUGUGGGAUGAACCAAACGUCGAGUUAAGGCAUCAAAUGCGUACGCUCAUCAGAUCCCAGAAAAGGUGUUGGUUGCUAUAGACAGCAGGACGGUGGCCAUGGAAGUCGGAAUCC